rnacentral:rRNA from 1 species
AGCAUAUCAAUAAGCGGAGGAAAAGAAACCAACAGGGAUUGCCCUAGUAACGGCGAGUGAAGCGGCAACAGCUCAAAUUUGAAAUCUGGCUCUCGGGCCCGAGUUGUAAUUUGUAGAGGAUACUUUUGAUGCGGUGCCUUCCGAGUUCCCUGGAACGGGACGCCAUAGAGGGUGAGAGCCCCGUCUGGUUGGAUGCCAAAUCUCUGUAAAGUUCCUUCGACGAGUCGAGUAGUUUGGGAAUGCUGCUCUAAAUGGGAGGUAUAUGUCUUCUAAAGCUAAAUACCGGCCAGAGACCGAUAGCGCACAAGUAGAGUGAUCGAAAGAUGAAAAGCACUUUGAAAAGAGAGUUAAAAAGUACGUGAAAUUGUUGAAAGGGAAGCGUUUAUGACCAGACUUGGGCUUGGUUAAUCAUCUGGGGUUCUCCCCAGUGCACUUUUCCAGUCCAGGCCAGCAUCAGUUUUCCCCGGGGGAUAAAGACUUCGGGAAUGUGGCUCUCUUCGGGGAGUGUUAUAGCCCGUUGUGUAAUACCCUGGGGGGGACUGAGGUUCGCGCAUCUGCAAGGAUGCUGGCGUAAUGGUCAUCAACGACCCGUCUUGAAACACGGACCAAGGAGUCGUCUUCGUAUGCGAGUGUUCGGGUGUCAAACCCCUACGCGUAAUGAAAGUGAACGCAGGUGAGAGCUUCGGCGCAUCAUCGACCGAUCCUGAUGUUCUCGGAUGGAUUUGAGUAAGAGCAUACGGGGCCGGACCCGAAAGAAGGUGAACUAUGCCUGUAUAGGGUGAAGCCAGAGGAAACUCUGGUGGAGGCUCGCAGCGGUUCUGACGUGCAAAUCGAUCGUCAAAUAUGCGCAUGGGGGCGAAAGACUAAUCGAACCUUCUAGUAGCUGGUUUCCGCCGA